rnacentral:misc_RNA from 1 species
GCGAGAGCGAGCCCCGUGCUUCUGCACGGGAGCAAGCGCGCCAUCCUUGUGUUGUGUGUGGUGAUGUGUGUGCACGCAAGUGCACAUGCGCACAUUUUCACCCGAUUCAUGUCAUUCUGAUCAACUGCUCGUAUGAGCACAAACAACCGA